GAGCGAUGAUGAAAAGGCUUUUACUAUGGACCUUUAUAACUAUGAAAGUUUCUACACUUGACCUAAGUUCA
rnacentral:snoRNA from 12 species